rnacentral:misc_RNA from 1 species
GAUCAUUACCGAGUGUAAAAACUCCCAAACCAUUGUGAACCUACCACUGUUGCUUCGGCGGCCUCGCCCCGGGCGCGUUCGCGCGGCCCGGACCCAGGCGUCCGCCGGAGGCUCCAAACUCUUGUCUUUUAGUGUAUUUCUGAGUGGCAUAAGCAAAUAAAUCAAAACUUUCAGCAACGGAUCUCUUGGUUCUGGCAUCGAUGAAGAACGCAGCAAAAUGCGAUAAGUAAUGUGAAUUGCAGAAUUCAGUGAAUCAUCGAAUCUUUGAACGCACAUUGCGCCCGCCAGUAUUCUGGCGGGCAUGCCUGUCUGAGCGUCAUUUCAACCCUCAGGACCCGUUCGCGGGACCUGGCGUUGGGGAUCAGCCUGCCCCUGGCGGCGGCUGGCCCUGAAAUCCAGUGGCGGUUCCCUCGCGAACUCCUCCGUGCAGUAAUUAAACCUCUCGCGGCAGGAUAGCGGUUGAACC